UUUCCUCCUUUUUCCCCUCAGGAAGCCACUGACUGCCUAGAAAUUAGGGAGGGCGUGAGAAGUCCAGUUGAUCAAGGCGGAACCUUUUUUUCUGAGAGCCUUUCCACAUCUGCCUCUUGCAGGCUCUCUGGACGAUCCCUGUUGUGCCAUGUUUUGUGGCUUUCUCUGUAGGAAGAAUUUGUCUUGAUGAAGAUUCCUAACAUUGGUAAUGUGAUGAAUAAAUUUGAGAUCCUUGGGGUUGUAGGUGAAGGAGCCUAUGGUGUUGUACUCAAAUGCAGACACAAGGUGACUUGAAAAUAAGUAUGAAAAAUGGCAAUAUGAUACUUCAAAUAAUUUCAACAGAAGAACCUCUGGUUUAGUUUCUUGCAUAUAUUCUAACUUGUCACAUGAUCUGUGCAGGUAAAUAUGCAUUGUUUUGACAAGUGAAAGGGUGGUGAAAACGAGGGCUAGUGAGGCUGAUAAGACUGAUAAAAACUUUUAAUAAUGUAUUUUCUUUUUGCAAACCUUACGACAAAUCUUAGCUCUGGAUGCAGUGUUUCAAGAUACAAAUGAGUCUCUAGCACACAUCCUCUUGGAGAUAUUGUGCACAUGCAUAAUAACAAAGCUAGUUAGUAGUUCCCUACGUUAUUAUUUUCUCUCCUGGAUUUCGUGUUACUUGUUAUCUCUUACUCUUGCAGUAUUUUAAGCACCGGCCAGAGACAUGUAGAAUCCCUUUAGAAAGGGAAAAACAUAAAAUCUGGGGAGAUUCUAUGUUAGCAUGAAGCACUGUCUGCCUUGGGGGAGACUUGAUCCCUUUCAAGAAUGGCUUUGUUAAAUUUUAUAUUUUGAGAUAGAGUAAUAACACUGGAUGUGUAUUGUAAAAGAUCUGGGUGGUGACGAUGCAGUUUAUGCUGGGCAGGCCCCUUCUUUAUGGAAAGUGGACACAAGAAGAUUCUAGGAUUUCCUGCACUGAUGAGUGAAUUUCCAGCUCUUUGUGCCAUUGGCAGUGUCCUAAUCUGAAAGAGUUUGGUACUCUGAUUGUAGUGUAAUGGCAGGCUUAUCUGAGUUGUCUGAGUUCCUGUGAGAGUACCUUGCAGUGUAACAAAUGACGGGAGAGGGAUGGCUUUCCUUCAGCAGUGGAAGGUGUUUUUUCCUACAGCCAGUGAAAGGACACUGAAUUUCUUUGAUUUUCAUGCAGAAUUACCUGCAAAUGUAAGGGUGUGUUUUUUGUGUUCACUGUUUGACGGCUGACUGGCUGUACCUAAAAGUACUGAGUUUUAAUAAAUGAUUCUUCCACGUGGUAUGUCUGCAUGUAGUGCAGUUGAACUUUGAAUGCAUUAUGCAGCCUUUUUCAGCUCCACAAGGGAGGUCCAGAAAUGGUGUAAAAACUAGAGGGUGCUGCAGUAACCAAGCUACCUUCGAUCGUGUUCCCUCAGCAUGCACUGCUUUUCUUUUAGCACAAAGCUAACAAUUCUGUUUAACAAUUCAAGUGCAAAAUUGUUUAUAUUCAUCUUUGCAAACAGUGCUAACGUGCAAGAACCAAAUUCUCAGCAAUUUUAAGUCAACUUAUUUCCAUUGUAUUAGAGAGAAGGUAAAAUUUGCAUCAAAAGAGGAGUGGGUCCUUAAUUGAAACAUUUUGUGGUAUAUAAUCCAGUAGUGCUUCAAUAAAUAGGUAGCUUUUUGUACCAGUGCAUUUCAGUGGUGUUUGUAUAUGGAUUUAAAUUGGAGAGAAUGUGCUAAGGGGUAAAUACCUUGUCAUUAUUUCAUGAUUUUUUUUUUCUUUGCUAGCAGAAUGUUGUCAGGAAAACAAGAGUACCUCCACUAGAAUGACUACAUUUACGUUAUUAUAUAGCAUAUUUCUAUUGCAAAUUCUUUACUGCUGCUUCCUUGUAAGGAUAACUUGUUUUUCUGCUGGUUUUUUUUUCAAUGUGAAACUAAUACAAAUGUUAAGAAUAAAACAGAGAUCU